CCUAUAGUUCCAGUUACUUGGAAGGAUGAGGCGGAAGGAUCCCUUUAGUCUAGGCAUUCUCGGCUUGUAGUGUGUUGUGCCAAUCAGGUGUCCACAUUAAGUUCAGCAUUAAUAUAGAGACCUCCUGGGAGCAGGGGACCACUAGGUUACCUAAGGAGGAGUGAACAGGCCCAGGUCUGAAACAGAGCAGAUCAAAAUACAGGGGCUGAUCAGUUGCAUGAUAGUGCCUGUGCCCAGCCUGGGCAACAUAGCCAGACACGUCUCUA
rnacentral:SRP_RNA from 1 species